GUCCCUUCCGGGAAGGGCCCCGGUCACAGCCUGUGUGCUUCUCAGCAGGAAAGGCGGCCUGGAAGUCACUCUGCCCAGCAGAAGCUCUGCACUUCCUGAAGGGGGCUGUGGACCCCAAGUUCCUGAGGUUCAAGCCAGCCACAGGGAGGGGCCAGAGGCCAGCCUGGAAGAAGAGGCUGGGCUGGCUUUGCGCAGAGCCUCAAAUCAGACCAGUCCCUCUACAGCCCCUGCGGGAAGCAGGCAUGGGGUAGGAGGGCGAGGGGCUGCAGGCCAAGGCUGGAGGGAAGGCCAGAAAGGCCUGUGGGCCCCACCCUGGGGUAGGCAGUCCGCCACACACGCACCGGAUUGUUACCUGCAUUUUACAAUGGAGGACACGGCUCUCAGAGGAGUAGGCACAGGUUUCUGUUUGUUUAGGAUGGAGAGGCCUGUGUGUUGGAAGGCAGAGGAGGGAGUUUCGGCUUAGUCUUUUCUGCAAGAACCUGCUGAUCCCACAACUGUGCCUGGCCCACCCUGGGGGAACCCAAGAGGCUCCAGGCCCUGUUGCUGAGGCCAGUAUAGGGGUGGGGUGGAGGCUGGCCUGGUCAGACGUGCAAACAGGAUUUCCCCCAAACAGGGAGGCUCUCUUGACCCUUGAAACCAUCCCCGUUUCCUGAACAGUAUUAUUCGUGGUUUUUGUCUUAAACAUUCAUCUCCUUUGCCAGGGCCUGUCCAUUUUCCACACCUGAGUCUGAACAGGCUAAUGAUGAGGCCCCAGCUUUCACUGUGCAGUCUUCUGCAGGGAUUGUGUGUGUGUCUCAGAUAGAGCUCUCCACUUUGGGAUUUUUUUUUUUUUGUAGAGUCUCAUCCAGUAACAAAGAGAAAAUGGAGCUCACCCGGGGUGUCCUGAGAUGGGUGGGCCCCAAGGGGGUUCCAUUCUCUGAGACGUGUGAUGGAGCCCUGUGGUCCUCACUCUCUUUAUCUCCUCUGCCUUCCCCACCGUCUAGCCUCCCCCCUCAUCUUUGUUCCCCAUUCCCCCACCAGUUCCUUCUGUUCUCCUUCUCCUCACCUCUUGCUCGCCCUGCCCUGAGGACCCAGCCCCCUCACAACCUUCCUCCAUAGUCCAGUGCCAAUGUUGGCCUAGGGCCUUCAACAUCCCCUAACCCCACCUGGCAGAGGGGGAGUUGCAGUGCAGGCUUCCCUGUUGAGGGACCUCACUAUUGUGGAGCACUGCCUCUGACAGGUGGUGUCUGAGCCUGUCACCAUGAAAUGGGGCAGCCACAGUAGCUACCUCCAUCGUUCAGUCUCUGUUGAGCGUGCAUUGUCGAGGGGUGUCACCAUGAAACGGGGCAGCCACUGUAGCUACCUCCAUUGUUCAGUCUCUGUUGAGCGUGCAUUGUUGAGGGGCUCCUCCUCCCUACAUGUCGGAACUCUUGGGUUGAGCAGGUGAGCUCAGCAACAUUGCAGAAUGCAAGAUCAGCACACAACAAUCGCUUGCAUUGAUGUUCACCUAAGCUGCCCGAGUUUUGGAUCCGGGUACAGCACCAUCCUGGGAUCCUCACCCCAAGCCCAGAAUUGCCUGUGUACGUUUACAUGGUGACCUCCAGACAAAGGCACCCAGCGUCUUGCUUUCCAAAAGGAUCUCUGGUCAGGUUUGGUAGCUCACGCCUGUCAUCCCAGCACUUUGAGAGGCCAAGGCGGGCAAAUUACCUGAGGUCAGGAGUUCGAGACCAUCCUGGCCAACAUGGUGAAACCCCGUCUCUACUAAAAAUACAGAAAAAAUUAGCUGGGCAUGGUCUUGGGUGCCUGUAGUCCCAGCUACUCGGAAGGCUGAGGCAGGAGAAUCGCUUGAACCAGGGAGGUGGAGGUUGCAGUGACCUGAGAUGGCACCACUGCACUCCAGCCUGGGCGACAGAGCGAGACGCCGUCUCAAAAGAAAAAAAAAGAGAAAAGAAAAGGAUCUUCAAAAGCUUAUUUAAAUAAUCCUUAACAUACACAGUUAUGGCUAAAUUUGCAUUUCAAUGCUGUUAUCUCUCUUCUUUUAACCCAACAUAGACUUCUGUCAGCAUCCCAGACUAGCAUUCGUUAAUUGCGGGCUAAUGUGUCUUUCCUAAACAGUAUCUUGUUCAAAAUCAAGCCACUGGAAACAGUUGCUCUGCCAAGGCUGAAGGAGGAGGCAGGCCGCCUUUUCCAGCCUGUCAGGGAGGAAACCUCACCUGCUGCGCUGAGACGGCCUGCCUGUCCUGCUGCUCCUCUGAGUGGUUUUUAUCUGCUCCUCCCAGAGAACCUCAGCAAUGUGAGGGCAGGAGCCGUCUGCCCACCCCGAAGCCCUGGGGGAAGGACUGCCCGGCACAGCUCCAGGGUAAAAACAGAAACCGUGGGACGCAUGGCCUCUCUGCUGUGGGUCCCUCCACCGCCCCGGGCCUGCCAGACAGGUUCUUCCGCGGGGUGCCCACUUCCUGUGUGGAGCCUCCUUGACCCGUCUGGUUCCAUGUGCCCCAUCUCCACGCGCCUGCAUGCCAUCACUCCCACCCAUCUCUGCGCCUCCCUCCAGGGCCCGGCUGCUGAUAGCCCAUGCGGGACAGCGCCCGUGGCCGGGACUGAGUCGGCACACCCAGACCCGGGUGCACAGGCUGCCCCAGAGUGACAACGUG
rnacentral:lncRNA from 1 species